ensembl:lncRNA LOXL1-AS1 LOXL1 antisense RNA 1
GGGUCUCCGCCAUGGGCCUGCGCCGCCUCGGGACCGGGGUCAGGGAGCUCCUGCCUGCCUGGAUGAAGAGGAGGUCAAGACUUUGUCCCCCACUCCGCAAGAUACCCUCUCUGUUCCGGAGCGGUGGGUCCCUCCCCUGUUAGGACCUUGUCUCCCUCAGGACUGGACCUGGAUCCUGGGCCUGCAGUCAGAUUGCCAGUUUCACUUAGAGGUGGAAAUGUCAACCCACUGGUUGGAAUGGGAAGGUGAGACAGGAUUUCACCAUGUUAGCCAGGAUGGUCUUGAUCUCCUGACCUCAUGAUCUGCCCACCUCGGCCUCCCAAAGUGCUGGGCUUACAGGCGUGAGCCACCGUGCCCGGCCAAAAAUAACUUUUAAAAACAUGAGUAUAGCAUACACACACACAAAAGUCCACAAAUCCUAGGUGUACCACUUGAUGAAUGAUCCCAACGUGAGCACACCUCUGGAUUACCACCUGGAUCAAGAAAUAGGACAUCACAGCAGCUGGCAGCUUCCAAGGAGAAGCUCUGGAAAGUUCUGCCUGUCUCAGCACCUGGCUGGAUCGGAAACGAGUUUUCUUUAACCAGAUUUUUAAUGACUGACUUAUGUGGACAAAUCAUAACUGAAUGAAUCACCUCCUUUGUUGAUUUUUUUGGGUACUUUAUUUGCUAUUAUAAAUGAUGCUGUAAUAAGCACCCUUGAAGAAAUCUUCAUAUCUGCCUCUCCUGUGUAGCAGGUCACAGUGCCUGGGUUUGGUUCUAGCCCUCAUUUGUGAACUGUGUGACUCACCAUGCCUUUUUUCUUUCUGUAAGACAGGAAUAAUGGUAAGAAUUUAAAUGGGGGUAAUAUGGAGCGCGUUUAGUUCAGAGCCUGGUGCAUACAAGCACUCAAUAAGUACUGGCGAUUAUUAGACCUUUAGAUUAAUUUAUUAGAAGUUGGAUUUCUGGUGAAAGGGUUUGAGUGUUUUUGAGGCUUUGGCACAGAAUACCCAGCUGGUCCCAGAAAGGUGGUUCCCAUUUACCUGCCCGAAGGUAAUUCACCCUUACUGAUACUGAGUACUGUUUUCUAAAAGAACAUUAAAAAUUGGAUAGGUUAAAAACAGGUGAAUACAUUUUUUUAGUUGCAUUUUUUUGGUUACCCGUGAGAGUGAACAUGUUGCCAUGUGUUUGCUGACCUCCUAAAUGGUCUAUUUGCUCCUACCUUUGUACCCCAAAAGUCUGCUCUCAAGAUGGUAGCCAGAAUGAUCCUUUUUGAGACAUAAGUCAAAAUUUCACUCUUCUCCUUAAAGCUCUGCAAUGGUUCUCAGGUUAAAAGCCAAAGUCCUGUUCAAGGCCUCCAGGGUCCUCACCACUUGGUCCCUUGCUCUUUCUGUUCUAGCCAACUUGGCCUUCUCCUGCCCCUCCGCCGCACCAUGGCAAUUUCCCCUGCUCUGUGUGGUCAACUACCUGAAUCUGUUCAAAGCUUUGCUCAAAUGUCUCCUUCCUGAUGAGACCUCCCCAGCCCCUGAGCUCCCCAUGCCUCACUCCUGAUCGCCUUACUUAACCCUUCUUUUUCUUUUUUGCCAGUAGUACUUAUCACCGUCUAAAAUACUUCAUAAUUUACUUGUUUAUUGUUUGCCCCUCUCCAAUAGAAUGUAAGCUCCUUGGGGCAGGGACCUUUGUCCUUUGUCUUGUUCACUGCUGUGUCCCAUGUGUAAACUUGUCUGGCACAGAAGAGGUGCUCGAUAAAUAUUUGUUGAGUGAAUGAAUGGUAAAUUUUCUGUUCAUAUUCUUUGACUAUUUUCUAUUGUAAUGUUCAUCUUUUUAGUAUUGGUUUAUAAGAUGUAUAUUUAGCACCUUUUCAUAUAUCACUCUUUGUCACAUAUUAUGCAACUAAUUUGUCAUUUCCAUCAAUUUUUAAAAUACUUUCUUGAUGCUUCAUUUUUAAGCUGUCAGAUUAUUAAUCUUUUCUUUAUGGUCUUGGACUUUAUUGUUGCAUAACCGCUGCCUUCACCAGGAACAUAUAAAUUUUCAAUUAAAUGUUCUUCUGAGAUUUUAUGAUUUCACUUUUUAUAUUAAACUCUUCAUUUUGUCUUCAUGUGUGGUGAGAGGUAAGAACAUAACUUUAAAGCAAAUUAACCAACUAUCCCCAAAUGAAUUAUAAAUAAAUUAAUCAUUUUCCAAUGAUCUGAAAGGCCAUUUUAUCAUACACUAAAUAUUUUUGUGUGUUUGACUGGGUUUACCGUUCUGUUCCGUUGGCCUAUCACAUCGUUCUUACAUUGGUAUUUGUUGCCCUAUUUUAAUGAUUGUAACUUUUUAAUAAGGGUUAAUGACUGAGAAUACAAGUCCCAUUGUUUUGUUUUAUUAUUUUUAUUAUUUUUUUGAGACAGGGUUUCACUCUGUCACCCAGGCUGGAGUAUAGUAGCACUAUCUCGGCUCAUUGCAACCUCUGCCUCCCUGGUUCAAGUGAUUCUCCCACCUCAACCUCCCGAGUAGCUGGGACUACAGAUGCAUGCCACCACACCCAGCUAAUUCUUGUAUUUUUAGUAGAGACAGGGUUUCACCAUGUUGACCAGGCUGGUCUUGAACUCCUGGCUUCAAGUGAUUCACCUGCCUCGACCUCCCAAAGUGCUGGGAUUACAGGCGUGACUCACCACGCCUGGCCCAUUUUUUUCUUUUGAGGUGUUCUUUGUGGCAAUUCAUAUAUUCUUUAAGAUAAAUUCUAAACUUUUUUUUUCUGCCGAGAUAAACUAGCAGACAAAUCCCACUGGACAUUGCAAUUGGAUUAGUUUUGUAGAUUAAUUUAGUGAUAAUCAACUUCUUUGCACCAUUGAGUGCUUCUGUCCGGGAACGUGGCAUAUCUUUCUAUUAUUAAGGUCUUUUUUAUUAUAGGUCUUUAGGGAAGCUUUAUUUUAUAGAUGAAUGUAGUGUGUUUGGUGCUUAUUUUCAUAAAAUAAAGCAAUGACAUCUGUGGCAGGCAGCUUCUGAAAUGGCUCCCAAUGAUCCUUACCUUCUGAUAGUCACCCCCUUGGAGAAUCCCUUUCCUUUGUGUGUGGGCUGGAUCUAGUGACUUGCUUCUCAUAAAUAGAAUAUGGCAAAAAAUGAUGGGUUGUUACUUCUGAGAUUAGGUUAUAAGAGGCGAAUUUCUGUUUUGCUGUAAUUUUGUCUCUCUAACCCUCUUGCUUUCCUGUGCUCAUGAAACCAGCUGCUGUGUUGUGAGCCACCUUAUGGAAAACCCAUGUGGCAGAGAACCGAGGGUGGUGGCUGGCCAACAGCAAGCCAGGAGCUGAGGCCCACAGUCCAACAACUGGUGAGGAACCACAUGCUGCCAGCAGCCAUGUGAGGGAACUUAGAAGCAAAUCCUUCCCCAGUUGAGCCUUCAGAUGACACCAGAGCCUUGGCUGACCCCUUACUUUUACCCUUGUAAGAGACUUUGAGCCAGAAGACUUGGCU